rnacentral:rRNA from 1 species
CCUACGGGUGGCAGCAGUGGGGAAUAUUGCACAAUGGGGGAAACCCUGAUGCAGCGACGCCGCGUGAGGGAGGGAGUACUUCGGUAUGUAAAGCUCUAUCAGCAGGGAAGAAAAUUACGGUACCUGACUAAGAAGCCCCAGCUAACUACGUGCCAGCAGCCGCGGUAAUACGUAGGGGGCACGCGUUUUCCGGAUUUACUGGGUGUAAAGGGAGCGUAGACGGCUAAUCAAGUCAUAAGUGAAAACCCAGGGCUAAACCUUGGGACUGCUUUUGAAACUGCGUAGCUUGAGUGCAGGAGAGGUAAGCGGAAUUCCUAGUGUAGCGGUGAAAUGCGUAGAUAUUAGGAGGAACACCAGUGGCGAAGGCGGCUUACUGGACUGUAACUGACGUUGAGGCUCGAAAGCGUGGGGAGCAAACAGGAUUAGAUACCCCUGUAGUC